AACAUAGAAGUAAUAUUUACAUUUAGUUUCGACCUAAAAUUAAAGAUUUAAAAAUCUUCAUGUUU
rnacentral:tRNA from 1 species